rnacentral:lncRNA from 1 species
CUUCUUCCAAUUCCAUCUUUCUUAGCAGUAUCUCCCAGUACAUCUGGUGGAACCAUCAGCUUUCGCCCUUUGACUCCCGAAGCCUCUUCCUCAAGACCUCAGACUCUGCCUCGGCAUCCUUGACCGCCUGCUGCUCGUGGGCCAGCUGAAUCUUCAGCUGCUGCAGUUCAGCCUUCUUCUGCCCAAGGGCCACAGACAG